AAGCUCGUAGUUGAAUUUCGGUCCCUGUUGGUCGGUCCGCCUUCUUGGUGUGUACUUACUCAACGGGGACUUACCUCCGGGUGAACUGCAAUGUCCUUUACUGGGUGUUGUAGCGAACUAGGACGUUUACUUUGAAAAAAUUAGAGUGUUCAAAGCAGGCCUACGCCCGAAUACAUUAGCAUGGAAUAAUAGAAUAGGACGCGCGUUCCCAUUUUGUGGUUUCUGAGAUCGCCGUAAUGAUUAAUAGGGAUAGUUGGG
rnacentral:rRNA from 1 species